rnacentral:rRNA from 1 species
AGCCGCGGUAACACCGGCGGCCCGAGUGGUGAUCGUGAUUAUUGGGCCUAAAGGGUCCGUAGCCGGUUGGUCAGUCCUCCGGGAAAUCUGAUAGCUCAACUAUUAGGCUUUCGGGGGAUACUGCCAGACUUGGAACCGGGAGAGGUAAGAGGUACUACAGGGGUAGGAGUGAAAUCUUGUAAUCCCUGUGGGACCACCUGUGGCGAAGGCGUCUUACCAGAACGGGUUCGACGGUGAGGGACGAAAGCUGGGGGCACGAACCGGAUUAGAUACCCGGGUAGUCCCAGCCGUAAACGAUGCUCGCUAGGUGUCAGGCAUGGCGCGACCGUGUCUGGUGCCGCAGGGAAGCCGUGAAGCGAGCCACCUGGGAAGUACGGCCGCAAGGCUGAAACUUAAAGGAAUUGGCGGGGAGCACAACAACGGGUGGAGCCCUGCGGUUUAAUUGGACUCAACGCCGGACAACUCGACCGGGGGCGACAGCAAUAUGUAGGCCAAGCUGAAGACUUUGCCUAGAAUCGCUGAGAAGAGGUGCAUGG